rnacentral:lncRNA from 1 species
UUCUUGCUCUGGAGAACUAAUCAGAAAGCAAGAGAAUAGCCUGAAGGCAAGUUCAAUCGAACACUCACCGAAGUGGCUCCAAGCAGGCAUCGACGGAGCGUCAGGCACACACUCCGGAGCUCCACUGGAGGAGGACGUCGACGAAACAAAACCCAAGCUAUCGCAGCAGACGACAAAAAUGUUGGCCCGUAUCAACUCCGCUGAAAGUGAAGGACACGUUACGGUCAAGCGUAGUCGGUCAUUU